GGGGAAUUUUGGACAAUGGGGGCAACCCUGAUCCAGCCAUCCCGCGUGUGCGAUGAAGGCCUUCGGGUUGUAAAGCACUUUUGUCAGGGAAGAAACAGCGCGGGCUAAUAUUCUGCGCGAAUGACGGUACCUGAAGAAUAAGCACCGGCUAACUCCGUGCCAGCAGCCGCGGUAAUACGGAGGGUGCAAGCGUUAAUCGGAAUUACUGGGCGUAAAGCGCACGCAGGCGGUCUGUCAAGUCGGAUGUGAAAUCCCCGGGCUCAACCUGGGAACUGCAUUCGAAACUGGCAGGCUUGAGUCUCGUAGAGGGGGGUAGAAUUCCAGGUGUAGCGGUGAAAUGCGUAGAGAUCUGGAGGAAUACCGGUGGCGAAGGCGGCCCCCUGGACGAAGACUGACGCUCAGGUGCGAAAGCGUGGGGAGCAAACA
rnacentral:rRNA from 1 species